AGUGAACGCUGGCGGUAGGCCUAACACAUGCAAGUCGAACGGCAGCACAGUAAGAGCUUGCUCUUACGGGUGGCGAGUGGCGGACGGGUGAGGAAUACAUCGGAAUCUACUUUUUCGUGGGGGAUAACGUAGGGAAACUUACGCUAAUACCGCAUACGACCUACGGGUGAAAGCAGGGGAUCUUCGGACCUUGCGCGAUUGAAUGAGCCGAUGUCGGAUUAGCUAGUUGGCGAGGUAAAGGCCCACCAAGGCGACGAUGCGUAGCUGGUCUGAGAGGAUGAUCAGCCACACUGGAACUGAGACACGGUCCAGACUCCUACGGGAGGCAGCAGUAGGGAAUAUUGGGCAAUGGGCGCAAGCCUGAUCCAGCCAUACCGCGUGGGUGAAGAAGGCCUUCGGGUUGUAAAGCCCUUUUAUUGGGAAAGAAAAGCAGCAGGUUAAUACCCCGCUGUUCUGACGGUACCCAAAGAAUAAGCACCGGCUAACUUCGUG
rnacentral:rRNA from 1 species